UACAGAGGGUGCGAGCGUUGUCCGGAAUCACUGGGUUUAAAGGGUGCGUAGGUGGGUUGGUAAGUCCGUGGUGAAAUCUCCGAGCUUAACUCGGAAACUGCCGUGGAUACUAUCAAUCUUGAAUACUGUGGAGGUAAGCGGAAUAUGUCAUGUAGCGGUGAAAUGCUUAGAUAUGACAUAGAACACCGAUAGCGAAGGCAGCUUGCUACACAGUCAUUGACACUGAGGCACGAAAGCGUGGGGAGCAAACAGG
rnacentral:rRNA from 1 species